UACGUAGGCAGCGAGCGUUGUUCGGAGUUACUGGGCGUAAAGGGUGCGUAGGCGGCUUUUUAAGUUUGGUGUGAAAUCUCCCGGCUCAACUGGGAGGGUGCGCCGAAUACUGAAUGACUCGAGUGUGGGAGAGGUGAGUGGAAUUCCUGGUGUAGCGGUGAAAUGCGUAGAUAUCAGGAGGAACACCGGUGGUGUAGACGGCUCACUGGACCAUAACUGACGCUGGGACACGAAAGCGUGGGUAGCAAACAGG
rnacentral:rRNA from 1 species